UACGUAGGGUGCGAGCGUUAAUCGGAAUUACUGGGCGUAAAGCGGGCGCAGACGGUUUGUUAAGCAGGAUGUGAAAUCCCCGGGCUCAACCCGGGAACUGCGUUCUGAACUGGCAGGCUAGAGUGUGUCAGAGGGGGGUAGAAUUCCACGUGUAGCAGUGAAAUGCGUAGAGAUGUGGAGGAAUACCGAUGGCGAAGGCAGCCCCCUGGGAUAACACUGACGUUCAUGCCCGAAAGCGUGGGUAGCAAACAGC
rnacentral:rRNA from 1 species